rnacentral:rRNA from 1 species
AAGACCCGUGCCCACAGUUGCCAGCAUACCCUCCGGGGUGAUGGGCACACUGUGGGGACCGCCGCUGCUAAAGCGGAGGAAGGYGCGGGCUACGGUAGGUCAGUAUGCCCCGAAUCAUCCGGGCUACACGCGGGCUACAAUGGUUGGGACAAUGGGCACCUACACCGAGAGGUGAUGGUAAUCUCCUAAACCCAGCCUUAGUUCGGAUUGAGGGCUGCAACUCGCCCUCAUGAAGCCGGAAUCCGUAGUAAUCGCGUAUCAAUAUCACGCGGUGAAUAC